rnacentral:rRNA from 1 species
GUGGGGAAUAUUGGACAAUGGGGGGAACCCUGAUCCAGCCAUGCCGCGUGUGUGAAGAAGGCCUUUUGGUUGUAAAGCACUUUAAGCGAGGAGGAGGCUACCGAGAUUAAUACUCUUGGAUAGUGGACGUUACUCGCAGAAUAAGCACCGGCUAACUCUGUGCCAGCAGCCGCGGUAAUACAGAGGGUGCAAGCGUUAAUCGGAUUUACUGGGCGUAAAGCGCGCGUAGGUGGCCAAUUAAGUCAAAUGUGAAAUCCCCGAGCUUAACUUGGGAAUUGCAUUCGAUACUGGUUGGCUAGAGUAUGGGAGAGGAUGGUAGAAUUCCAGGUGUAGCGGUGAAAUGCGUAGAGAUCUGGAGGAAUACCGAUGGCGAAGGCAGCCAUCUGGCCUAAUACUGACACUGAGGUGCGAAAGCAUGGGGAGCAAACAGGAUUAGAUACCCGUGUAGUCC